rnacentral:rRNA from 1 species
GUGCCAGCAGCCGCGGUAAGACAGAGGUGCCAAGCGUUAGGCGGAAUCACUGGGCUUAAAGCGUGUGUAGGCGGAAUGGUAAGUACCUUGUGAAAUCCCACGGCUCAACCGUGGAACUGCUUGGUAUACUGCUUUUCUUGAGCCACUUAGGGGCAACCGGAACAAACGGUGGAGCGGUGAAAUGCGUAGAUAUCGUUUGGAACGCCAAUGGUGAAAACAGGUUGCUGGGAGUGUGCUGACGCUGAGACACGAAAGCCAGGGGAGCAAACGGGAUUAGAUACCCCAGUAGUCC